GUUAAAAUGUGACAUGAAAUCUCGCUAUUAUAUUUGGACUAGAAGAGCUGCAAAGAGCAUUUUCUGUUCAAAUCGCCUAGGAUUAAGUCUCCUCAUGUAGUAGAAUCAAAGUCCUGGCUUCCUCCUCAAGGAGCAUCUCAUAACAAAAGCAUCCAGAGUUCGGGCUGCUUUGGAGGAGCUUCACAGGGAAUUUAACAGAAUGCAGGGUGGAAUGAGAUUUCCUGUAGACGUGACAUGCAAGAAAGCCCGUGAAGGUCGUGGUGCAUCACCUAACACAGCAGUUCACAAGGUAUGGCCCACAAAUCUUUGUGCAUCCCUAAGACUCUUGCAAGGAGUCCUUUCAGUGGAAACUAUUUUCCUAAUAAUACUAAGACAUUAUUUAGCCUUUUCUCUCUGUUGAUAUUUGUACUGAUGGUGCACAGUCCAUGGUGUGACAAAAUGAGGAAUAUGCAUGAAGCAAGAACUUUUACUUUCUCAGAUAUUAUAAUUGUUGUAAGGAAAAGAAUUUGUACACUGAUAGUUUAAAUGAAGAUGAGAACUCACCCCUUUUUUCCUGGAACAUUAUUUUUACAUAAAAGAAUGACUGACUAACAGAAAAAUAUGGUUAUUCAAAGUUUGUGGGGAAAAGUAAGAGAGAUCAGAUUGUUACUG
rnacentral:lncRNA from 1 species